rnacentral:ncRNA from 1 species
UCGAUAGAGGUUGCGGAGAUCAAGAGUACGGAGUUACGGACGCAGAGGAUGCGGUAACUCGGGAAAGGGAAAUCCGCCGAAGGCUGAAGCAUCCUACAGCGGAGGCCUGGGACAUCGCAGAAUAUGCGAUGGACUGUCACACAUGUGGAGCGCUAUCA